rnacentral:lncRNA from 1 species
ACGAGGACAGGCAGCCCUGGGAAAGCGGAGUCAGGCAGAACAAAAUAAUCGCCUUAGGAGGUGCUUCCAAAGGGCUUUGAGCGAAUCUGGAGCGUGCGUGUUACUCUCCUCGCUCUGUUUUUGUCAUGUCUCCGCAAUAAAGUGGACAUUUUCCCAGCUGCUCGGCGGGGCUGACAGCGUGUUGUCAGGAUGGGGCUGUGCCCUAAAUACAGACUCUUGCGGGUUCAGAAAGUUCCCUUCCUCUAAUUGGAGCCGGCUCGCCGAGGUGAAGAAAAGCUGCAAAAUUGUUUUAAGCUACGAGCAAUUAUAACAACCCUUACAGUGCCAGUGACACUAAGAGGAUUUGUACUGGAUUAUAUCUAACGUUAACAUGAUCUAAUGCCGCCUGAAUAACGCAGCCCGCAGCGGGACUGGCUCGCAGGGACGGGUGCCUUGUUCUUCAAAGCCACCUGGGGCUCAGGGAGAGAGGGAAGCAAAGCUGUGCAGGGCAAAUUUUGGUGCGAUGUCGGGUCUGGUUUAAACACUGGAGAUAGGGAGUGCUAGAGCAAGUGUGUUUUAAUGAGAGCCCAGCAGCCUCCUGCUAUUCGGCACUCACCCAGCUGGGCAGGGAGAUGCUGCAGAGUUCUCAUGGUGAUGCCAUGACACGUGUCACACUGGCCAUGGUGCUAGGGCAUGCUGGGUGACCCGAACUGUGACACCCUGCUGUCUCCAGGCUGCAUCAGAUUGUCUGAGGCUGCUUUUAAAAAGUGUUUUAAAAUAAUCCUUUUUAUAGUGGAAUGAAGAAUAACGGCACAGAGAGGCUUCAGCUGGUAUAGGCAGAAGAAAAAUGGGAUUAAUUAGGAUAUGCCCUCAUACGCACAGAUUUCAGUGAAAGUUCUGCUCUGACAGAGCAGGCUGGAAAGGCUCUAUGCACCAGUGAUCGUGGUGGUGUACGGAAAAGGAGGGGAAGGAGGGAUGGUGCAGGAGCUCAGCUUGCAGGCUGCGAUCUUGGAGAAUAUCUGCUCUGCUGCCAACAUAAGAGCUGACAAAAAGCAACGCACCUAUGCAACAUUGAACUGUAGUCCAUCCCUCCGAAAUCUACCCAGGGCCAUUUAUGGAAAAUGGAUAUUUUGA